AUGUUUAAUAAUCCUGGGAAGAUGUGAAUAAUUCCAUUAGAUAAUUCAGGAGGCCUUUGCACCUCAUGCGAGGUUUUAUUUCACUGUUGGGGUUAUAUGACUGAAAAAAUUGCAUUGAGUACACAUAUAUUAAUACCAGUCUGCAGCUGAAAAAGAUGCUGUUCUGAUUGUGGAGGUAUGUGAAACGGAAAGAAAGGGAUAUAGACUGUUUUGAAUCUAAGGAGUAAUUUAAAAGAUGAGCUACCAGAAAAGGUGUUGAAAGUUUUGAAUUUGUUUUAACAAGCACAUUAAAAAAUAGCUUAAAAACAGAACAAUACCAGGUCUUGACCUGUGUGGCUGCAUGCAAUUAAUUCUAAAAUACCAGCAAACAAGAAGUAGCUAAAUGCCAAUAGGCAUCGGCUCAAAAUUUUGAAGC